rnacentral:rRNA from 1 species
GAUCAUGGCUCAGGAUGAACGCUAGCGAUAGGCCUAACACAUGCAAGUCGAGGGGCAGCACAUGAGUAGCAAUACGAUGGUGGCGACCGGCGCACGGGUGAGUAACACGUAUGCAACCUACCUUUAACAGGGGAAUAACCCGUUGAAAAACGGACUAAUACUUCAUAACACAGGGGUCCCGCAUGGGAAUAUUUGUUAAAGAUUAAUCGGUUGAAGAUGGGCAUGCGUUCCAUUAGCUUGUUGGUGAGGUAACGGCUCACCAAGGCCACGAUGGAUAGGGGAACUGAGAGGUUUAUCCCCCACACUGGAACUGAGACACGGUCCAGACUCCUACGGGAGGCAGCAGUGAGGAAUAUUGGUCAAUGGAGGCAACUCUGAACCAGCCAAGUCGCGUGAAGGAUGAAGGUCUUAUGGAUUGUAAACUUCUUUUGCAAGGGAAUAAAGUGGGGGACGUGUCCUCCUUUGCAUGUACCUUGCGAAUAAGGAUCGGCUAACUCCGUGCCAGCAGCUGC